rnacentral:lncRNA from 1 species
UCAGUACUUCCAGGGGUUUUCCUAUGCAGAAUUUUUAAAACGCAGCACCCCUUGGUCCCGGCCUCGACAUUAUUUCUAGGGAUGGAUUGACAGAAGCGAAUCAGUUUGGGGGAAGGGGAGCUAAUGGAAAUGACUUCCGAGUUUUCCCUCCGCGGGCCCAGGUUGAGCAGGCUUUGCCACCACGGAGAGCCCCAGUCUCCCUGCCGUGGCUGGUUUCCCUCACAUGCUAAAUAGACUCACGUGGGCCCCAGGAGUAAUGCCUGUUAGUGACUGCACUGUGGAUGUUCACCGGGGCUCACGCGGGCCCUAAUGCAUUUUCGGUGCAGAGACGCGCCCUACCUGGCCCAUCGGGCUGCGUGGUCCGGGGCGCGUGGGAGGCCGCCCUGGGAGCAGAACGCUGGGGCGGGGUCGGGGGCGAUUCUUGACCUGCCUCUUCCAAGCUCCCCCUGUCUGGUGCACUGAGGGUUCCGAGGAAUGUGACGGGAACCCAGGAGGCUGCGGGAAGUCUGCUGGGUCCCGAGGGAAGCCUUCGGCUCCUACCGUCCGCUACUUUCUGCUUCCACACGGGAGGCUGUCACCUGUCAUCUCCUUCCCCACUUAGAUCAUCCUUCCGUGGUAGAUUUUACAUCUUCAGGCCGGGUGCAGUGGCUCACGCCUGUAAUCCCAGCACUUUGGGAGGCUGAGGUGGGCGGAUCACCUGAGGUCAGGAGUUCAAGACCAGGAUGGCCAACAUGGUGAAACCCCGUCUCUACUAAAAAUACAAAAAUUAGCUGGGUGCGGUGGUGCACGCCUGUAAUCCCAGCCACUCAGGAGGUUGUGGCACGAGAAUCGCUUAAACCCGGGAGGCGGAGGUUACAGUGAGCCUAGAUCGCGCCACUGCCCUCCAGCCUGGGCAACAGAGACUCUGUCUCCAAAAAAAAAAAAAAAAAAAAAAAGAUACCGCUUGGCAUCUGGAAAUGUCUGGGACGACCUCUAGAAUUAACCUAGCUCAAACCUCUGUUCCCAGAUCAGUUUCAUCCUGAAGGCUUCCCUAGGGAUGGAUCAUCAAGUCCUGGGAAACUGGACAUAAAAUGCCCACUACUUAAAUAAUGAUUUCCCAUACGUAACUUUUAGUGACCCGAGUUAUAAAUGUUUUUUAAGGAGGAUUUCUAUCUAUGCAAUGAGGGGAAUUUUUCAGGUUCCUGGUUCUCUUUCUAUAAAUGGUGUUUUCAUUACAAUACUAAGGGAAAGUUUUGUACGUUGAAAUUAAGUUACCAUAGAAUUUAAUAACCAAGGUGAUUAUUAAACUGAUUGAGGGUUGGUCUUUUCCCCCAUUGCGUAUGCAGUACUUUCUUGGUAAUCAUUUCACACAAGAAAUUUUCUUUUAUGACAAACCUUCAUCGUUAUGCUGGGAAUUAAGUGCUUUGAUUUUUUUUUUUUUUUUUUUUUUUAACCCCAGGGAAGUGCUGGGGGCGGGGCAGGGGGUGAGAAUUUUAACAGAAUAUUGGAGAGACAAAAUUUUUCUACCGUUCAUAUAUAUAUAUCUAGUUGAAUUAUUUCAAGAUUUCAAGGUCAGUAUUGUCCCCAUUUUAUAGGUGAAGAAAUAGGCCUAGAGGUACUAAACUUUACAACUUCAGGUGAGCAGGAGAUAAACAGGUAGGAUUCAAGGCUUACCAGUCUGAUUCCUGUUAGAAGAAAAACUUCAGCUGAACUAAAUUUAAAGGAGUUAAACUGAGCAGUGAAUGACUGGGCAGCCCCCAGAAUCACAGCAGAUUCAGAGAGACUCCAGGGAUGCCUCGUGGUCAGAACAAAUUUUUAGACAAAAAGAGGGAAGUGACGUACAGAAAUCAGCAGUGAGAUACAGAAACAGCUGCAUUGGUUACAGGGGGGCGUUUGCCUUAUUUGAACACAGUUUGAACAAUCAGCAGUGUAUGACUGGUUGAAGUAUGGCCGCUGGGAUUGGCCAAGACUCAGCUAUUGUUACAGGUGCAUACUCCUAAAUUAGGUUUUCAAGCUUGUCUGCCUAUUAACCUAGGUUACAGUUCGUACACAAGGACUCAAAUACAGAAGUACAGAGUCCUUCUCAGGCCAUAUUUAGUUUGCUUUAACACUGCCUCUCAAAUUCUUUCUCUUAUAAUUAAUGCUAUAAUCCUCUUAAACAUGCUCUCAGUUCAAAAUGCAGAUUUGCCCUUUUUUGUGUGUUUCAUUUAUCUCCACAUUGGAUAUAAGCUGCCAUAAUGCAUGUAUAGACAAAAUAUAAUAGAAUUAGUUGUUAUAAAGUAAAAAUUUUGUUCAGAAAUAUUAUUAAAAGAAGUACAUGUAUUAUAUAUGUAAUAAACAUUUAGGCCAUUCAAGUCAGUCACAUCUUCAAUGAAAAGCCAGACACUAAAUGGCCGUGAAUUGGACAUUACUAUAGAGAGGCAGAAGGGCCAUAGUCUUUCCUAGCUGGAAAAGUAAUUUGCUGGGGCGCUGCCCGGUGCACUUUGCCCCCAUCCUAGCAACUCGAGUGUGCUCAGCAGAAUGAAGUUAGCA